rnacentral:rRNA from 1 species
GAUCCUGGCUCAGGAUGAACGCUAGCGGCAGGCUUAAUACAUGCAAGUCGUGGGGCAGCGCAGGUAGCAAUACUGGGCGGCGACCGGCAAACGGGUGCGGAACACGUACACAACCUUCCGAGAAGUGGGGAAUAGCCCAGAGAAAUUUGGAUUAAUACCCCGUAACAUAACGAUGUGGCAUCACAUUGUUAUUAUAGCUUCGGCGCUUCUUGAUGGGUGUGCGGCUGAUUAGAUAGUUGGCGGGGUAACGGCCCACCAAGUCUACGAUCAGUAGCUGAUGUGAGAGCAUGAUCAGCCACACGGGCACUGAGACACGGGCCCGACUCCUACGGGAGGCAGCAGUAAGGAAUAUUGGUCAAUGGACGCAAGUCUGAACCAGCCAUGCCGCGUGAAGGAUUAAGGUCCUCUGGAUUGUAAACUUCUUUUAUCUGGGACGAAAAAAGGCGAUUCUUCGUCACUUGACGGUACCAGAUGAAUAAGCACCGGCUAACUCCGUG